AUAAAAGACAUAUAUACGUGUGUAUAUGUAUGAGUUAUAAAAUAUAUACAAAUAAAAAUAAUAAUAUGGGGUAACUUUUAAGUAAUAAUACAUGAUAAUUUUAGAAUAAUAAUACAUAUUAAAAUAAUAUAUACAUAUAUAAAGAUAAAGAAAUAAAAUAAUCUAUAAUAAUAGGAGUAAUAAUAAUUAAUAGCAAACUAAAAACGCAAAAGGGAUUAAAUCAAUGUCUAACCUAAAUUUAAGGGAAAGAAAAUGAAAUUAAAUAUCGUUUGGGGGCCAGGUUAAAACACGCACAAAAACAAGGAUCUAAACAAUAAAUAUCCCUAUCCACACUAUGCGCGGGGUUUCAAUAGGGACUAAAGUGAAGCAACUAUAAAGGUACGGGGCGCGAUUCAUUAAUAAAAAAAAGGUGAAUUGCAAUAUGCACGAAAAUUGGAGGGACCAAGGCCGAAAAUAAUCCAUUGCUACAAAAGCGCGGAUCCUUCCCUUGGGUCGGGUCACCGCGUGGAUCUCGGCCCUAUACGACGCCGCUUUGAAGCCAUUGAAAUGGCAUCAAACGACGUCGUUUCACGCCACAUAUAUGGUUCAACAUAAACCCUAAACAUCAACAGACACUCCUUUUUAAAAAAACAUAGCAACCCUAAAGUCUACCCUUUGCGCCGCUCUGCUGCUUUCGGACUCACCAUGGCUCUGAUUACGACGGAGUUCGGCGGCUCCGAUGACAAGGUCUUGACGAGGCAAGUCAGAGGAACAGACCCUGGCCCUUGCCAUUUUGGUGCAACGGGUGAAGACGUCGUCAUCAAGCGUGGUGCGCGCCGAUGGCAUACAUGGGGCAGUUGCGGCGCGAGGAAAGACAGGGAACCCUAGGGUUCCCUGAUGCUGUUUAGUUUUUGGGCCCCAUUGGGCCGUUUAGGGUUUUGAAAAUUGGGCCAUUUUUGCCCGUUGUACAUGGACUGUUAUUUUUGGCUGUUUAUUUUUUUGGUUUUAUUUCGGGCCCAGGCUAAAUUGGGCCUCUACACAAAUGUGACCACGUUUUGAACUACGACUUUCGAAGUUGACGUUGGGGUAUGUAAAUGGUAUCAUAAAACUUUUUGUUUGA